rnacentral:rRNA from 1 species
UCGAUUCCCUUAGUAGCGGCGAGCGAAACGGGAAGAGCCCAAACCAACAAGCUUGCUUGUUGGGGUUGUAGGACACUCUAUACGGAGUUACAAAGGACGACAUUAGACGAAUCAUCUGGAAAGAUGAAUCAAAGAAGGUAAUAAUCCUGUAGUCGAAAAUGUUGUCUCUCUUGAGUGGAUCCUGAGUACGACGGAGCACGUGAAAUUCCGUCGGAAUCUGGGAGGACCAUCUCCUAAGGCUAAAUACUCUCUAGUGACCGAUAGUGAACCAGUACCGUGAGGGAAAGGUGAAAAGCACCCCGGAAGGGGAGUGAAAUAGAACCUGAAACCGUGUGCUUACAAGUAGUCAGAGCCCGUUAAUGGGUGAUGGCGUGCCUUUUGUAGAAUGAACCGGCGAGUUACGAUUUGAUGCAAGGUUAAGCAGUAAAUGUGGAGCCGUAGCGAAAGCGAGUCUGAAUAGGGCGUUUAGUAUUUGGUCGUAGACCCGAAACCAGGUGAUCUACCCUUGGUCAGGUUGAAGUUCAGGUAACACUGAAUGGAGGACCGAACCGACUUACGUUGAAAAGUGAGCGGAUGAACUGAGGGUAGCGGAGAAAUUCCAAUCGAACCUGGAGAUAGCUGGUUCUCUCCGAAAUAGCUUUAGGGCUAGCCUCAAGUGAUGAUUAUUGGAGGUAGAGCACUGUUUGGACGAGGGGCCCCUCUCGGGUUACCGAAUUCAGACAAACUCCGAAUGCCAAUUAAUUUAACUUGGGAGUCAGAACAUGGGUGAUAAGGUCCGUGUUCGAAAGGGAAACAGCCCAGACCACCAGCUAAGGUCCCAAAAUAUAUGUUAAGUGGAAAAGGAUGUGGCGUUGCCCAGACAACUAGGAUGUUGGCUUAGAAGCAGCCAUCAUUUAAAGAGUGCGUAAUAGCUCACUAGUCGAGU